UAGAUUUUACUAAAAGUUUCAGUGGAACAUUAAUUGGAACUUCAAGAUUGGUAAAUUGGAAAAUAAAAUGAAAUUAUUGUGUGACAUAAAUAGAAGAAAAUGAAAUUUAUUACCUGCAUAACAUUAUCAUUGCUAGGUUUUCUGCCUUGCAUAUCAUGCCAAGAAAAACUAUUUCCCGACAUUGGUGACCUAUUCCAAUUUGAUGUCGAACCACUAAACAUAAGUGCACUAAAACAUCAUGAUUUAAUCGCUAGAAAUGUAUCCAUUGAUGUAGAAAAGGUCGAUAUCAAAAAACUUUGGAAAAAGAUGCCCCGGCCAACCAGCAAUGAAACGUUCGUGAAUGAUACGAGACGUCAAAUUUGGGUGGGUUCAUAUUAUGAGUACCAAGAGGCGUCAUUACAUAUGGCGAAGAUGAAGGUGUUGGACAUUAUGCUGCAGACUAUUUACAUGGCAAGACAUAAGUUACAGCAAUUAGAGAAUGAAAGAUAUUUCAAUUCGAAGGAUACGUCGUAUCGUAUCGCAUUCCUCUACAGAACGAUCAGAAGAAUUUGGAAAAAGAUUCACGAUAUUUAUAACACUAUGGAGAGAAUGAGGCCGAAGAAUAAUAUCAAGAUGCUCAAUCCGUACCUGAUCCUCCACCACUACGCAGCGAAGCUACACGUAGACUUCCUGUACCUUUGGUGGGUGCUGGUGAAACUCCAUGAAAAAUAUAAUCAAGCACAUGACAUUCCUAACUUGAGGCCCAGUGAUCAUAUAUAUUGGGCCGAUGAGUUCCAACGAUUCUACUAAUCAUCAUAACAGCUUACCAGUGGGAGGCUCCUUUGCACAGGAUGCCGGCUAGAUUAUGGGUACCACAACGGCGCCUAUUUCUGCCGUGAAGCAGUAAUGUCUAAACAUUAUUGUGUUUCAGAAGAGCGCCGUAGCUAGUGAAAUUACUGAGCAAACGAGACUUAACAUCUUAUGUCUCAAGGAGACGAGCCCAAUUGUAGUGCCACUCAGAAUUGUUGGAUUUUUCGAAAAUCCUGAGCAGCACUGCAUUGUAAUGGGCAGGGCGUAUCAAUUACCAUCAGCUGAAAGUCCUGCUCAUCUUGUCCCUUCUUGUCACUAAAAAACAAAUAGUUACGGACUUAAUGUCGGAUAUUUACCAUUAUCUUUUGUCAGUAAUUUAAAUAAAUAAAUAAAUUUAAAUAAAGAAUAAAGUAACAGGGUUAAAUGCAAGUACGUAUUCGGCUGGUACUAUGGGUUAAAUUUGUACCCUUUGGGUAAUGAAGGUCAUCCUUGAGAACACACUUUUAUAUAAAUAUCGCCUUCUCUGGCUCAUUCGGGUCGGUCUACCGUGGAGCUAAUAUAGUUUUGGUUGAAUGUCCAAGUCUGUAUUUGUCUUAGUGAACUUAUUAAAUAAUAACU